ACUUGUUGUGGGCAGAUGUAGUGGAUGUGAGUAUCAAUACCACCAGCUGUAACGAUCAUACCUUCUGUUGCAAGAGCUUCAGUAGAAGCACCAACAACCAUGCCUGGUGUUACGCCAUCCAUAAUAUCUGGGUUACCAGCUUUACCGAUACCAGCGAUAACACCGUCUUUGAUACCGAUAUCAGCUUUGAAAAUGCCUGUGUAGUCAACAACAAGAGCAUUUGUCAAAACUAAGUCUAGGUCACCUGUAGCACUUGUUGUGUUAACAGAUUGUCCCAUACCGUCACGU
rnacentral:sRNA from 1 species